CAGUAGCCGCGGUAAUGCGUAGGUGGCAAGCGUUGUCCGGAAUUAUUGGGCGUAAAGGGCUCGCAGGCGGUUUCUUAAGUCUGAUGUGAAAGCCCCCGGCUCAACCGGGGAGGGUCACUGGAAACUGGGAAACUUGAGUGCAGAAGAGGAGAGUGGAAUUCCACGUGUAGCGGUGAAAUGCGUAGAGAUGUGGAGGAACACCAGUGGCGAAGGCGACUCUCUGGUCUGUAACUGACGCUGAGGAGCGAAAGCGUGGGGAGCGAACAGGAUUAGAUACCCCCGUAGUCCCUGUCUCUUAUAC
rnacentral:rRNA from 1 species